UUCGUUAUAGCCGACGUCGGCAAGCCU
rnacentral:sRNA from 1 species